rnacentral:rRNA from 1 species
UCGAGAAUUUUUCACAAUGGGGGAAACCCUGAUGGAGCGACGCCGCGUGGGGGAUGAAUGGCUUCGGCCCGUAAACCCCUGUCAUUUGCGAACAAACCUCACGGUUUAACAGAUUGUGAGCUGAUAGUAUCAGAAGAGGAAGGGACGGCUAACUCUGUGCCAGCAGCCGCGGUAAUACAGAGGUCCCGAGCGUUGUUCGGAUUCACUGGGCGUAAAGGGUGCGUAGGCGGCAGGGUAAGUUUGAGGUGAAAUCUCCGGGCUCAACCCGGAAAAUGCCUCGAAUACUAUCCUGCUGGAGGAUCGGAGGGGAGACUGGAAUUCUUGGUGUAGCGGUGAAAUGCGUAGAUAUCAAGAGGAACACCAGUGGCGAAGGCGGCCAUCUGGCUCGUUACUGACGCUCAGCACGAAAGCGUGGGGAGCAAACAGG